GGUAGUCUGUACGUUUGAUCUGAUUGCAUGUAUGAAAUGUUAGCCAAUCCUACCACACGCAGGCGGGGGGGGGGUCAUAGGAAUACGGGUAGGACAAUGACUAUAACGACUCCGGCCGCAGUAGCCUUCGAAACACGGAAGUUUGAAAGUUAUCUGUUUGAGGAACACGGAAGUAGCCAUAUGUAGGGUAGAAUCUAUGGGUGAAAAAAGAAAAAAGGUGCCGAGAAUGUAUAUUUUUAGUGUGGAACGACUGCACGCGCUCAUUUCGGUGUUUGGUAGCUAUCAUGGACGCGUUUCAUCCAUUCAUGAAUUCAUCACUGUGUAAAGAUUAGUGAUGGUGACAAAUGAUGAUCAAUAUUUGGCAGAAUAUAUUGUUUUUCUUUAGUGUCAGUGAUCUUUGGUGACCCUAGCGUGAACCAUGGCCACCCCUCAGGCAACCCUACAAUAUGAGGUGCCUGAUCAAAAAGCUGAAGACCUGAUGAAGGGGCCUGCUGUUCCAAAAAGAGAAAUCACUUCAGUGUACAGUCUUCUGAUGACCUGCCAGGAGACCUGCAUUGUGUCACAUCCCCAUCUCCUGCGCUCUCAUUCCCUCCCUACCUCUCAGGAAGCAGAACAAUUUGAAUUACUGUCUGACUUUGUUCGUGAACAUAUACUGUACAUUUUGUAAGGAACAAACAUCAUGAAACAAUCAGGUUUCAUUCAUCACUGAAAAGUCUGAUAGCAGAGGGAAUGGGUUUGGAUAUAAACUUGUGUUGCUGCCAUAUACUUUUAAAGAGAAUCCUAUCAGAGCACAAACUAACUUAUUCCAAGCUGAAGUCAAAAUAAUAGCUAAUUUGGGCAGUCUGUCUAUGUGGAAUGACUUCGAAUUUACAGUAGAAUGUUACAUGUGCAAUACGUACUGAAAGUCGGUACACUAUCUCUUUUAAAAACUGCUCAGCAGUGCUUGAACUACAGCUGACCUGGCCACAGCUCCAUCCGGCACACAGGGGGAGAGGAGAGAUGGAGUGACCUUUGACCUUUAAAAGAAGAGGGCAGCACAUUCGUAUCUCAUCUCCUCUCAGACAGCCUUGUUUGAUCUGGACUCACCUCAGUUCACACAUCUUAGCUUCUGGCACCAACCUACAGGGGAGGAAUGUGUGGGGUUUUGUGUGUGUGUGUGUGUGUGUGUAGUAUUCCAGGAAUAUUGUUAUAAACAACAUUGAUGUUUUGAUUAUAUAAAAUAUUUUCCUGCUUGUUUUGCUGAGUUGUGGAAAAGGAAAUAUUUAUAUUGUUUUUCUGAACAUGUGACUGAGUGGUAUACAAAUUUGUUAUGUGUGCAGUAUUACACCAGGUAGAUUUCUCGUGGGCGUCACAGGAUUUUAUAUCUUGCCUGGCACUACACGGUGUGAGAAGGUAGUUACACUGUGACUUUUAUGCUAUGCUGGUACAGAUAUUAUUUCCCCAUACAGUAGAUCCCUGAAAAUAUGUUAUAUUUUAAACUGAUCAUUUAAAAAAAUAGUGUUCUUUUUGAAGGACAAAAAUCAUAUGAAAUUGUAUUACUACUAGAAUAGGAAUAUAUGAUGGCAUGUAGUAUUGCAGCAUAUAUACAGCAAUGUGUCACCCCUUGGAAAUAAUAUCUGUACAACUACAGCAAAAAGCAUAUAGAUGGAUAGAUAGAUAGAUAGAUAGAUAGACCUACAGAUAGGCCAUUUUGCUACUGUGUUCCACUUGUCCCCUUUGAGAGAAGGGCCACUGCAAAUCAACACAAAAUUAUUCUGACUGAUCAACUUUAUCCUUCGAUGAAACAUUUCUAUCCUGAUGGGAGUGGUCUCUUCCGGGAUGACAAUGUCCUCAUCCACACAAGGCACAAAGGCUCAAGAAUGGUUGGUUGAGUAUGAAAAUGAUGUAAAUCAUAUACUAAGGCCUUCACAGUAACCAGAUUUUAACCCAGUUGAACACCUGUGGGAGAUUAUGGACUGACGUGUUAGACAGCGAUGGACUGACGUGUUAGACAGUGCUCUCCAUCAUCAAAACACCAGUUGAGUGAAUAGUAUAGAAUGCAAAGGCACAAUGAAGCUGCCAGCUGCUUUUUCCUGAAAAUUAUGUGUGUGUGUGUGUAAUUCCAGAUUUGGGUAUAGAAAAACAUGGGUAAUUAACUUAAUCUUGUGGGUAGCUUUGUUUUUCUUACU